rnacentral:sRNA from 1 species
AGUUGCACCGGAUCGAUCGAGCGGGUAACGACCAGAUAGUCGCGAAGGGCGAUGCCGUGGCGGUUCUC